UGAAUAAUACUUUCUUGAUAAUUUACAAUGAGCUAUUACAAUGUAUAUAUAAAUUUAUAUAUAUAUAUACCCACGACUUAGAAGUAUCUAGUUUGAUUCCUAAUCUUAUCCUUAAGCUCUAGCUGUAAGGUAGAUUUGGCCUUCAUUGACAGACUGUAAUAUAGUAAAUUUGUUACUAAAAGCAGUCUGGUUUUAUUUGUCUAUUACGUUCAUCUUUGCAGGUACAGAAGGCUGGAGCUCUCUUGUGUUUACGUGUGAAGUUGUAGUGGGCUUCAUGUCGUGUUGGGAUUUAUUGAUCUUUGGUCACUUACAGUCCUAAUGGAAUUAUGUUUUUUUUUUCAUAACAACUGGGGUUUAACCAUGUGCACUAUUUGCAAUUAAAUAAAAUGUCCUAAAGUUUUGCUUUAGGAGGCUUCGUCUCUUUCACCCAUUGGUAAACACGUUAACUACAUGUGUCCUCUCUAAGUUAUUAAUCGUUAUCUUUGAUUUAACGAUCUGUGUUUUAAUGUUGUGGGUGUGAGACUUCAUUUUUUAUGUAAAAGGUUUGUCCAAGUUUGAGCUUUUGAUUGCCCGUAAAAAAGUAAUCAAUUCUUGAAAUUUUAAAUGUUUGGGUUACAUGGUGCUCGUCGGAAUCAAAUGGCGAUGCUUGCUUAGUGGACCUCACCUCCUUUUACUAUUUUCUUUUACUCUGAUUUCUUAAAUAUCUUCACGAAAGAAAAUUUUAAAGCGCAGUUAAACUAUUGAACGAUUGUAGACAUUUUUAAGGUCCGAUUCUAAAGCCUCUCCUUCUUCUUUUCUCAAGAAUCAGUUUACACAACUCCUCUUCCGCUCUGAUAUCUCUUAUCUCUUCUCUAUGAGAUGUUUCCUUCUCUAUCUUCUCGCUUUUUAAUAAACUUUCCAUCUCAUUAUUUUCUUGUAAUCCCUGUUUAGUUGUUGAGAAAGCGAAAUAAAAUUUUCUUCACUUUAAUUAAUCGAUAUGCUGUUUUUCUUUCGUUGUGUUUCUCUCUGUGACCAGAUUCCGGUUCGUGUCAUGUUCUUUCUUUUAGAUUCUGCAGAUUCAUUAUCUCUUUAAAUCAAUUGCUUUUUCUAGAUUGUUUAUUUAAAAAAUCAAACUUUCUUUCAAGAUCUGUGGCGGAGAAACGUUUAUGUCAGACGCGGGAAGGCCACCGUCUCUGUUCUAACAGCUGCGGCUUCCUCGACAGGUCCACCACCAUAAAUCGUUGCUCCAACUGCUACGACGAUCUCUGUCUCAAGAAACAAAUUGCAUGUAAUCCACCAUCAAAUCCUAUAUCUCCGCAUUUCCCCUCCGUCGUUGGAGAUCGUUUCAGUUUCUUCUCUGAUUUGAGAUAACGAGGAAGGACGUACCGAAUAUGAUGACUCAGACGACAAAACAGCAGCCGUAGAAGCUGACUAAAUCACUCCACGGCGUUCAGGAAACGGGUCGGGUUGACGGGAUUCAGGUGCCAAUCCAGGAUGGCUUGUUGUGGGCCCAUAGAUAGCCGGAAGUCCAUUUCGUUUCAAAUCACCGGUGAGAAUCACCGACUGGUAGAUGGAUAAGAUUCAUUGAAUUUAAGAUCGUGAGGAAGAGUUAAGUUUGGGUUAAUGAUGCUGAAUCAAUGAGACUUGUAACGCUUCAGAGGUGUAGAACCGAAUCUAAAUCGUCAUGAACAGAGUCCGAUGGAAAGCUUACUGACGAAUCAUUGGGUCACAGAAGCGGAUAUUCAUAGAACCCUAAAGCUGUGAGGAAUGCAGAAGAAAAUGGCGAUAUGGUCCUCUCUUUUGUCUAGUUUGGGCUCUCAGAUUCUAUAAGCUAAUAUUCGGGGAAAGUCCAUUAGCAAAACGUGAUCAAUCGUUUAAGUUAGAUUGCCACGUGUCAGGCUCUCUUCUCUUUAUUUGAUGACGUGUCUCUCUAAAAAGAGAGACAAAGUCUACUUUAUGUAAUAAGAAGAUAGUUCUAGAACUCAAAUCACAAUGCUCAAAUCAAGCAACUGCUAGGGUUAUUGAUUAAAUUCUUCAUAUCACAACUACACUCUAAAAUCUGUAUGUGCCUUCCCAAUCCAAGUGAAUUAGUUUAUUCCAA